CUGAGCGCCACAUGGAGAGCAGCGUGUUCACAACCGAAGACAGACUGCGUAUUUCUAUCCACUUUAUAACAUGAAUAUUAUUAAUAAAGUUAACAUUUUACAUUCUUUAAUUCUAAUAGGUAAGUAAGAACUGUGGACUCAUGUAUCUAGCGAAUAAUAACAGGGUGAAAAUAGACUUGCAUUAUGUGUCGUUGCUAAAAAAAAAAGUAUAAAUUCUUAUUUUAUUUCAUUUUUGCCUUCAUGUGUUGCCCGUUCGUUUUUCCCUAGAUGAAUGUGGUGUCAGAAAAGGCGCACAGGAACUCCUGUAAUGGUUUAUAAUCACAAAACUCCCUCAGAUUCUGUGAUUUCUCUGUUACAAGCACAUCUUUAACGCUGCAUGUGCACAAGAGUUUAAAAGUGUUCCAUUGUAUUAAAGCCUGAUGUCUUUUUCUCUCAUGCAGGCAGGAAUGUGAGCUUCCCUGUACAGGAGACCCUGACCUGGUGCAGAGACCAUGUGGAGAUCUGAUCAUGCCAUGUGCAUGUUAACUGCAGGCAGGAAUGGGAGCCUCCAGGAGACCCUGUACUGGUGCAGAGACCAUGUGGAGACCUGAUCCUGCCAUGUGCAUGUUAACUGCAGGCAGGAAUGUGAGCCUGAGAGACCAUGUGGAGAUCUGAUCAUGCCAUGUGCAUGUUAACUGCAGGUAAGCGUGUGUGCCUUGUACUGCCCGCCAUGAGGGAGCUGAACACAGGAGGAGCUGUGCUUCUAUUCAUGACAGAUUGCUGACCAUGAAGUACAGCGGAUAGGAACGACGGCGGCGGCCCACCAGCAUCACCGUUACAGCCGAGACGCCGUCAGAUCCAAUCCAAGCGCAAAGCUGAACAGUCAUGAAAGAUCGCGAUUAAUAAAACGAAUUCAAUACCUUGAAA